rnacentral:rRNA from 1 species
UACGUAGGGGGCAAGCGUUGUCCGGAAUCAUUGGGCGUAAAGAGCGCGUAGGCGGCCCAGUAAGUCCGCUCUGAAAGUCAGGGGCUCAACCCCUGAAUGCGGGUGGAUACUGCUGGGCUAGAGUCCGGAAGAGGCGAGUGGAAUUCCUGGUGUAGCGGUGAAAUGCGCAGAUAUCAGGAGGAACACCGAUGGCGAAGGCAGCUCGCUGGGACGGUACUGACGCUGAGGCGCGAAAGCCAGGGGAGCGAACGGG